rnacentral:rRNA from 1 species
AGAGUUUGAUCCUGGCUCAGGAUGAACGCUGGCGGCGUGCUUAACACAUGCAAGUCGAACGGGAUCCAUCAAGCUUGCUUGGUGGUGAGAGUGGCGAACGGGUGAGUAAUGCGUGACCGACCUGCCCCAUACACCGGAAUAGCUCCUGGAAACGGGUGGUAAUGCCGGAUGUUCCAGUUGAUCGCAUGGUCUUCUGGGAAAGCUUUCGCGGUAUGGGAUGGGGUCGCGUCCUAUCAGCUUGACGGCGGGGUAACGGCCCACCGUGGCUUCGACGGGUAGCCGGCCUGAGAGGGCGACCGGCCACAUUGGGACUGAGAUACGGCCCAGACUCCUACGGGAGGCAGCAGUGGGGAAUAUUGCACAAUGGGGGAAACCCUGAUGCAGCGACGCCGCGUGAAGGAAGAAGUAUCUCGGUAUGUAAACUUCUAUCAGCAGGGAAGAAAAUGACGGUACCUGACUAAGAAGCCCCGGCUAACUACGUGCCAGCAGCCGCGGUAAUACGUAGGGGGCAAGCGUUAUCCGGAUUUACUGGGUGUAAAGGGAGCGUAGACGGAAGAGCAAGUCUGAUGUGAAAGGCUGGGGCUUAACCCCAGGACUGCAUUGGAAACUGUUUUUCUAGAGUGCCGGAGAGGUAAGCGGAAUUCCUAGUGUAGCGGUGAAAUGCGUAGAUAUUAGGAGGAACACCAGUGGCGAAGGCGGCUUACUGGACGGUAACUGACGUUGAGGCUCGAAAGCGUGGGGAGCAAACAGGAUUAGAUACCCUGGUAGUCCACGCCGUAAACGGUGGAUGCUGGAUGUGGGGCCCGUUCCACGGGUUCCGUGUCGGAGCUAACGCGUUAAGCAUCCCGCCUGGGGAGUACGGCCGCAAGGCUAAAACUCAAAGGAAUUGACGGGGG